rnacentral:lncRNA from 1 species
CCAGUGAGUAGAACAGUGAAUAUAACAUGGUGAUAAACAUGCUCUCAUGGAAUGCAUCACAUCACAAGUAAUUCACCCAUCUCGGCCGGACGGAUCAAAACUCCCUCAAACUGUGCCUGGCCCACAAAGGAGCUCUCAGGACUUCAUCUCAAUCACUAGUACCGAAGUACCCUGUGCCUGGUCCCCUCAGGGCUGUUCCAGGACUUUCCUACGAGGGCUAAUGAAUCCAAA